AGUGAACGCUGGCGGUAGGCCUAACACAUGCAAGUCGAACGGCAGCACAGUAAGAGCUUGCUCUUACGGGUGGCGAGUGGCGGACGGGUGAGGAAUACAUCGGAAUCUACUUUUUCGUGGGGGAUAACGUAGGGAAACUUACGCUAAUACCGCAUACGACCUACGGGUGAAAGCAGGGGAUCUUCUGACCUUGCGCGAUUGAAUGAGCCGAUGUCGGAUUAGCUAGUUGGCGGGGUAAAGGCCCGCCAAGGCGACGAUCCGUAGCUGGUCUGAGAGGAUGAUCAGCCACACUGGAACUGAGACACGGUCCAGACUCCUACGGGAGGCAGCAGUGGGGAAUAUUGGACAAUGGGCGCAAGCCUGAUCCAGCCAUACCGCGUGGGUGAAGAAGGCCUUCGGGUUGUAAAGCCCUUUUGUUGGGAAAGAAAAGCAGCAGGUUAAUACCCCGCUGUUCUGACGGUACCCAAAGAAUAAGCACCGGCUAACUUCGUG
rnacentral:rRNA from 1 species